rnacentral:rRNA from 1 species
CAGUAGCCACGGGAAUACGUAGGUGGCAAGCGUUGUCCGGAAUUAUUGGGCGUAAAGGGCGCGUAGGCGGGCGAAUAAGUCAGGGGUGAAAUCCCAAGGCUCAACCUUGGAACUGCCUUUGAUACUGUUUGUCUUGAGUUCGAGAGAGGUAAGUGGAACUGCGAGUGUAGAGGUGAAAUUCGUAGAUAUUCGCAAGAACACCAGUGGCGAAGGCGGCUUACUGGCUCGAUACUGACGCUGAGGUGCGAAAGCGUGGGGAGCAAACAGGAUCAGAUACCCGAGUAGUCCCUGUCUCUUAUAC